AAAGAAAGAAAGAAAGAAAGAAAGAAAGAAAGAAAGAAAGAAAGAAAGCAAACAAAGGAAGGAAGGAAGGAAGGAAGGAAGGAAGGAAGGAAGGAAGGAAGGAAGGAAGGAAGGAAAGAGGGCAUUGCUUCAAAUCUGUUGGAGAUAUGUAAUUUAAAAAUCUCAUUGGAUAUUUCUAAUACACUACUAAUGAUACCUUAGAAACUGGCUCAAUGAUAGAGGGAUUUCUAAGCAGUGUAAUUUCUACAUUCGAUGAACAGCUCCAUGAAUAUGCAAUAUAAAGAAUGAUUGCAGCUAACAUUGUUUCUAAUAAGGCUUAUUCCAAUCUCUGGGUUGCUUUUAAUAAUCACAUAGUCAUUCAGAAGAUUUGUUCUCCUGCUCCAUUUUGAAGGCUGUUCUGUGCUUCAUAAAAUCAGUUCAUAUAAAACCACUGAGUUGAUUUUUCAUUUUGCCUUUUCUGGAUACCUAGGGAUACAAUUGCAACUUGUCAUUUAUUCUAUAUGCAUUUUUGAAAGAUAACAUUUUUUUGUAUUUUGGGGCUGUUGUAAAUAAAAUGCUGUAAUUACAUAGCUUAUAAACAACAAACAACUGUCACAUCCCAACCUAGAGGCUGAGAAGGCCAAGUAGAGCCAGCAGAGGUGGGUUCUAGUGUGAGCACACACUUCCUGCCUCACAGAUGAUGGUCUUGCUGUGCUUUCUCCUGUCAGAUGGGCAAAGGAUGUUCUUGGAGGCCUCUUUUAUGAGCACAAUAAGCCAAACCUGAGAGUCAGAGCCCUCAAUGUGAGCCCUUCACACAGGCUCCGCCACCACACACCCCCGUCUUGUGACUAAAUCUCAACAUAAUGGACUGGGAGAGUGGAUGGCACAAGGGUUCUGACUGUCACACCUGGGUGCGUGUCAUUCAAUAAGAGCAAUGAUGACUUGUUCCACCUAGAAAGUGCUCUGAAUAGAGAGGCAUCUCAAUGCAAUUUCUUCACCAUUACUCACUCAUCUUUUUGUGAUAUCACUUUCCUUUAUUAUCCAGAAACAUAAGUGGAGGAGGGAGAGCUACAGGGCAUGGAUCCACAGAAGAGGAAGUAGGAUAUCACUGUGAUAUAUUCUUUGUUUGUUUGUUUGUUUGUUUGUUUGUUUGUUUGAACUGAGUGUCAGAGAUCCUAGCAGGGUUCUACUCUAUGGACUGGAUGCCUCUUCUGUGAGGUCUUGAAUUCAUGGAAGUGAUUAAAAUCUGAUUUGGAUAGAUUAGCAUAUCUCAGAGAUUUCUAAUUAACUGAGAUUCUCUUCCCCUUGUCUUUUUUUCUCCCUCUUUCUUUUCAUUUUCAUUUUCAUUUUUUUUCUUGCCUUGAUUUUUGUUUUUAUUAAGUCAUUUUUUUUCUUUGUUAGGCAGAAUCUCACAUCAUAACCCCAAAUGACCUGUUACUCACCAUGUGGCCCAGCUGUCUUCAAACUCACCAGCCUCCUGCCUUAGCCUUCUAAAUGCUUGGAUUACAGGCAUGACCCACCAUAACUGGCUUUGUUUUAGUUUCAGAGAAGAUGAAACUGAUGUGCGUCAAAAAGUUAUGGAGGCUGGGAAGACCUAGAAUGUGGCAUCACUAUUUGCUGAAAUUUUUAAUAUAAUGCCUCUUAGCCUGGUUUGGAGAAAACGUCACAGAGAGGCACCAUUUGUUGUGGUUUUACAUGAAAAUUUUCUGACCCUGAACCUGGUUUGAUGGAAAUCAUUUGCUGAGGUAAUUAUCUCAAAUUAACUACCAAGCUGAUGAAUCGCUUACUACUUAAAAGCUGUGAUGGGGAGAGGAGUAAUUGAGAGCGGCCUUGUUGGGAGGGGAUGUGGACAUUUUUUUUUUCAGCAGCCAAUCAACUUAGAGGUUUUUUUUUGUUUUGUUUUGUUUUGUUUUUGUCUUGUUUUUUUUUCUGUGUAGAAUCUGAAUGUAUUGUCACAAGGUGAACACCAG
rnacentral:lncRNA from 1 species